rnacentral:rRNA from 1 species
UACGUAGGGCGCAAGCGUUGUCCGGAAUUAUUGGGCGUAAAGAGCUCGUAGGCGGCUUUGUAAGUUAGAGGUGAAAGCCCGGGGCUCAACUCCGGAAUUGCCUUUAAGACUGCAUCGCUAGAAUUGUGGAGAGGUAAGUGGAAUUCCGAGUGUAGAGGUGAAAUUCGUAGAUAUUCGGAAGAACACCAGUGGCGAAGGCGACUUACUGGACACAUAUUGACGCUGAGGUGCGAAAGCGUGGGGAGCAAACAGG